AGUGAACGCUGGCGGUAGGCCUAACACAUGCAAGUCGAACGGCAGCACAGUAAGAGCUUGCUCUUACGGGUGGCGAGUGGCGGACGGGUGAGGAAUACAUCGGAAUCUACUUUUUCGUGGGGGAUAACGUAGGGAAACUUACGCUAAUACCGCAUACGACCCACGGGUGAAAGCAGGGGAUCUUCGGACCUUGCGCGAUUGAAUGAGCCGAUGUCGGAUUAGCUAGUUGGCGGGGUAAAGGCCCACCAAGGCGACGAUCCGUAGCUGGCCUGAGAGGAUGAUCAGCCACACUGGAACUGAGACACGGUCCAGACUCCUACGGGAGGCAGCAGUGGGGAAUAUUGGACAAUGGGCGCAAGCCUGAUCCAGCCAUACCGCGUGGGUGAAGAAGGCCUUCGGGUUGUAAAGCCCUUUUGUUGGGAAAGAAAAGCAGCAGGUUAAUACCCCGCUGUUCUGACGGUACCCAAAGAAUAAGCACCGGCUAACUUCGUG
rnacentral:rRNA from 1 species